AUCGUAAAUGAGUCUUGAUGUUUUGAGUUGUUCAAUCACUAUUUUAUUGUGUUUUUUUUUGCAAUCAACACAAAGGUGUUGAUUAUUUUUAACAUAUUAUGGUCUUUUUUUUAGUUUCCAAUGCUCAAGAAAAGUUUGGUCAGUCCCAAUUGUAGGAAUGGUUAACAAUUUUAUAUUGUCGCCUCUUUGACAAUGUUUUGUGUUAUGAAUGCCUUGUUAAUUGUGUUUCGCGUCUUAUAAUGUGUAGAUAUUUAUGGUGUGAAAUAAAUAAGUGAUACCUGUGAUGGAAAAGAUUUUCUAAUAAUAUUAUUGAAAUCAACUAGAAUCAUGGCUUCUGUCAAAGUAGCUGUGCGAGUACGUCCAUUCAAUCAAAGGGAGAUUGACAUGAACGCAAAAUGCAUCAUAAAAAUGGAAGGAAAGAAGACAAGAAUCACCAAUACAUCACAGAAGGUAAGAAUU